CCUACGGGCGGCUGCAGUGGGGAAUCUUGGACAAUGGGCGCAAGCCUGAUCCAGCCAUGCCGCGUGAGUGAUGAAGGCCUUAGGGUUGUAAAGCUCUUUUGUCGGGGACGAUAAUGACGGUACCCGAAGAAUAAGCUCCGGCUAACUUCGUGCCAGCAGCCGCGGUAAUACGAAGGGAGCUAGCGUUGUUCGGAAUCACUGGGCGUAAAGCGCACGUAGGCGGAUUUGUUAGUGAGGGGUGAAAUCCCGGGGCUCAACCUCGGAACUGCCUUUCAUACUGCAGAUCUCGAGUCCGAUAGAGGUGGGUGGAAUUCCUAGUGUAGAGGUGAAAUUCGUAGAUAUUAGGAAGAACACCGGUGGCGAAGGCGGCCCACUGGAUCGGUACUGACGCUGAGGUGCGAAAGCGUGGGGAGCAAACAGGAUUAGAUACCCCGGUAGUC
rnacentral:rRNA from 1 species